UGGUCUGCAGCAGAGAGGAAGGAGCGAGCAGUCAUGGGAUACCAGGAAAGGUCCUCUCAUGGAUCAGUAACUGGUUAAUAGAUAGGAAACAGGGUAGGAAAAAAUGGUCAGUUUUCACAAUGAAGAGAGGUAAAUAGUGGGGUCCCCCAGGGGUCUGUACUGGGACC